rnacentral:rRNA from 1 species
UACGGUAGGGUGCAAGCGUUGUCCGGAAUUAUUGGGCGUAAAGAGCUCGUAGGCGGUUUGUCGCGUCUGCCGUGAAAGUCCGGGGCUCAACUCCGGAUCUGCGGUGGGUACGGGCAGACUAGAGUGAUGUAGGGGAGACUGGAAUUCCUGGUGUAGCGGUGAAAUGCGCAGAUAUCAGGAGGAACACCGAUGGCGAAGGCAGGUCUCUGGGCAUUAACUGACGCUGAGGAGCGAAAGCAUGGGGAGCGAACAGG